GCACUCAGGGAACGUGGUCUGUCCCUUGGCAUUGAGUCAAAAGGCCAGUCAGGGCCCCUGUCAGCCUCCAGCCUAUCCACUGUGAUGUCAGGGCUUAGUGGCAGGAGGGGGUGUUCCUGCAGCUUAUGGGGACAGGGAGUGUGGAUGGAGCCACCUGGGUUUGGGGAAGCUCGAGGUCCUGAAAGGAGGCAACCAGGCUUGCAGAGGCAGCAACUGUGGAUUUAUUGGAUGCAUCGUCAUUCAUGGUCCUGAGUCUUGGGGAUCUCAGAGGCUGGGAACCAGCCUGGCCAGAGCGUCCUCAGGAGCUGGGGGACCCAGCCUCCAGGCCUUUCCUCCUUGACAUCCACCUCAGAAGCCUCUAAAAAGCCAAAGCAGGCAUGCCUUUUGGGCCCCUUCCUGGAGGAACCUUCCCCAGGGCCAGGGCCCCCUCUGGGGCCACCGGAGCAGGGCAGCAUGGCUAACAGGCUAGGUAUUCCUCCAGCCCAAGGGGAAUGGCCUGAGGCCCUGCCAACCCAGGAAGGAAGCAGCAUGGGGGCUCCUUCAGGAAAGACAGGGCAUCAUCUGGCUACCCGGGUUUCUCCCCUCCCCUCCCAAGGCCAGAGGGUCUGGGAGGAGCUCGGCCUUCUGUGACCUCUGCAGGGUCACUGUGAUAGGGAGGAAAGCCGUCCUGCUGCCGCAGGACGGGGUCAGCUGUCUUACCAGAGGUGUAGGCAGCAGUCUCCUUUGGGACCUUUUUAUUUUCCUAGGAAGGAAGAAUGGGCACAGUGGGGGUGAGGCAGGGUCUACACUGUGCAGAUGGGGAGACUGAGGCCUCACUUCACAAGAAGUCAGGGGAGGCCAGAUUCAGAUCCCCUUCUGCUCACCAUGUCUGCUCCCCUCGGCUCCACACAGAGCCGUCACCCCCAGCACCGCCUUCCUUCCCCAGAGCCUCCCCAUUCACCCCACAGCACCCUGGGCCUUCUCAGUAGGGCCCCUGCUGGGACCAGGCUGCCUUACCUCCCAGCCUGAGGUCCCUGCCACCGCCACCUCCUCGGCCACCUCCUUCCCAGCAGGAAUGGGGCUGGCGGCUUCCUCCCCCUCGGCCUGGGCCAAAAUGCCAGUCUCCUCCUUGGGGGCAGCAUCAUUCAGUCCUCCCGCUGCCGCAGGGGUCAUGGCCUGCUGGGAGGGUCGAGAGGGGAGAAUAUGGGCAGAAAGGCCCUCUGAUCCCCUGGUCAUUUCCCUGUUCCCCACGCUUGGACUGUGUGUAGGUCUUUGUUUUUCCAAAGAAGUCCCUCCUUUCUCAGCUCGAGCUGCAGUAGGGCUGUGAGUCUCCUGGAGGCGCCCUGCCACUCUCCCUGGGACUCGAGGUGCCGUGAGCUGAGUCUGACAGGGGAGAGCCCGGCCUGGGCCUUCCAGGACAGGCCUCACUUACCUCGAAGCCUUGCUUCUUCCCACGCUUGACUCUGCGUCUCUACAGAGGGCGACAGAAGUGACGUAAAUCUAUGAGGGUCUGGGAGUCCUUCCCUGCCUGGCCCAUCCUCUUACCAAGGCCAACCACGGGUGCCCAGGACAGCCCCCACUCCGGGGGAGGGCCCAGCCCGUACCCACCUGAGCAGUCACAGGGUAGCACUUAUCCAUCCGCCCCCACACGGGCCUUAAGGUCUCCCCUAUGGGCUGCACGACAAGGACAGAGAAGGCGGAGGUGACAUCUUAAGGGCUCCAACACACAAAAAGAUAAAACUUCGCAUUCACAAAACAAAAAGAGGCUCUAAAAUAGAGAUGUUCAGGAGUUCCCAUGUGGCUCAGCGAGUUAAACAUCCAGCCUUGUCACUGCAGUAGCUCUGGUUACUGCACUGGCGCAGGUUUGGACCCUGGCCCAGGGACUUCUGCAUGCCGCUGGUGUGACCAAAAUAAAUAAAUCAAUUAAAUAAAGCAAAGUAAAGUAAAAUAGAAAUGUUCAAACAUCAAUCUCUAAUACUUCAAAAACAACUAAAAAAUAGGGCGUUCCCGAUGUGGCUCAGAGGUUAACAAACCCAACAAGGAUCCAUGAGGUUGGAUUCCUGGCCUUGCUCAGUGAGUUAAGGAUCCGUGAGCUACGGUGUAGGUUGCAGACAUGGGUCAGAUCCCGAGUUGCUCUGCUGGCCUACACCACAGCCACAGCAGUUCGGGAUCUGAGCGGGAUCUACGAACUACACCAGAGCUCACAGCAGCACCAGAUCCUUAACCCACUGAGCGAGGCCAGGGAUCAAACCCACAACCUCAUGGUUCCUUGUUGGAUUCAUUGCUGUUGCGCCACAACAGAAACUCCUUUCCAACACCAGUCUUUGAAGCCAGAAGAUAAUGCGCAUCUUCAAAAUCUAUCAGAAAAUUAUAUCUAGGCUAGAAUUCUAUACCUAGCUAAACUCUUCGUUAAGUAUGCAUCAAGACCUUUUCAGAUGUGUCAUAUCUCAAGACUUCCUACCCCGCAGGAAGCAACUGGAGGUUUUGCCCCGCCAAAAGAGAGUAACGGGGCUCCCACACAUGAAAGAAGUGAAGCACCCCCGAGAAUGACGGAGAGGGGAGGUCCCAGGACAGCUGAGCAGCAGGCCUCAAGGACAACUGUCCAAAUGGAGACGGCAGGGGAGUUCCUCUUGUGGCUCAGCGGUCAUGAACUGGACUAGUAUCCUUGAGAUUGAGGGUUCGAUCCCCAGCCCUGCUCCAUGGGUUAAGGAUCCAGCAUUGCCAUGAGCUGUCGUGUAGGUCUCAGACGCGGCUCAGAUCUGGCGUUGCUGUGGCUCUGGUGUAGGCCGGCAGCUGCUGCUUUGAUUCAACCUGCAGCCUGAGAACUUCCAUAAGCCAUGGGUGCAGCCCUAAAAAAGCAAACAAACAAACAAACAAACCAAAUGGAAAUAGCAGGAUGAAGGGCUCCAUGAGAUAUGUUUCCAGGAAAACAUAUUGAGAAACCAGCUCAUUUGUCUAAAUGUAUUGCAAGAUUUAUUCUUUGGUGGAGAAUUUGGAUGAAUUAAUUAUAGGUACAGAGAAAACUAAACACUUUAAAAAGAGGAAAAACCAAAAUUAUACACAAAGGAGUAAUUAUAGUACACCACAUGACUGGGGAUACUAUUUAUAUCGUUAUUACUGUGAACCCUCAAUACUACAAUUUUAUUGCAAAUAAAAUUACGAUACAAACCUAUUCGGAUGACUAAAAAAUGGCAAGUGCUGGAAACCAUAUGGAACAAAUAGAAGCUCUUGUUCAUCGUUGGUGAGAAUGCAAAAUGGGCACUCAUCAUUUUGGAAAAGGUUGAGCAUUUCCUACAAAACUCAGUAUACACUUACCCCAUGACCCCACAAUCCUGCUCAUAGGUAUUUACCUAAGUAAAAAGAAAGCCUAUGUUUACACAAAACUUGCACGUGAAUACUUACAGUGGGUUCGUUUGUGUUUUUUGCCACAUCUUCAGCAUAUGGAAGUUCCUGGGCCAGGGAUGGAACCUACACCUCAGUGGUGACUGACCCCCAAGUCGCUGCAGUGACAAUGCCAGAUCCUUAAACGGCUGUGCCACAAGAGAACUCCUGCGUAUACUGGUUUUAUCUGUCAUUGCCAAAAACUAGACACAGUCCAAAUGUCUCUUAACAGGUGAAUGGACAAACCAUAGUCCAGGCACACAGUGGACAAUUACUCAGCCAUCAGAAGGAACACACUACCGCUACAUACAGUGGGUGAACCUCAGAUGCACUGUGUAAGUGGAUGAAACCAGACAGAAAAUAGUACAUGCUGGAUGUUCCCAUUUAGAAGGCCAUCCUGCGAGGGGAAACCACAGGAGCAGAAAACAGUUCACUGGAUACUAGGGACUGGGGGAAGAGUUGGCUACAUGUGAGUAUGGGGUAUUUUUUUUUUUAACUAUCUUUUUUUUUUUUUUUAGUUUGUAGUACAUAAAUCCUUUUUUUUUUUCUUUUCUUUUUUUCUUUUCUUUUCCUUUUUUUUCUUUUCUAUGGCUGCACACGCAGCAGGAAGUUCCACAGGCCAGGGACUGAAUUCAAGCCACGGCCCUGGGAGCAUUGGAUCCUUUAACUGACUGCACUGGCCAGGAUUGAACCCACACUUCUGCAGUGACCCAAGCCACUGCGCCAUGGCCGGAACUCCCACGGGGGCAUUUUUUGAAGUGAUGGGACUGUUUUGUAUUUUGGUUGUGGUAGCAGUUAUACAAUUGUGCAUGUCUGUCAAAAGUCACAGAACUGUAUGCUAAAAAGGAUGGAUUUCCCUCUCUAUAAAUAAUACUUUAAUUUUUUUAAAUGAAUAAAAAAAAAAAAAAGCCCAGAGUAGGGGAGAGGGACUUAAAAACCAAAAUAACGUAAAAAUCAGCAAAAAAGCAAAAAUGAUCCUUAAAAAAAUUUUUUUUUUUACUUUUGUCUUUUCUAGGACCACACCCACGGCAUAUGGAGGUUCCCAGGCUAGGGGUUCCAUCGGAGCUGUAGCCACCAGCCUACACCAGAGCCACAGCAACGCGGGAUCCGAGCCAUGUCUGUGACCUACACCACAGCUCAGGGCAACGCCAGAUCCUUAACCCACUGAGCAAGGGCAGGGAUCGAACCUGCAACCUCAUGGUUCCUAGUCGGAUUCGUUAACCACUGAGCCACGACAGGAACUCCGAUACUUAAAAUUUUUUAAAAAUUGAAGAUGUCAUUACUCAGAUUAAAAUAUUUACAAUGCCAAAAACUAGGGUAUAACUCUAAGGGAAGGCUAGAGAGAGAUGAAAUGUGUGUUGGAAGUGGCAGAAAGUGUGUACUUGUUGUAAGAGCUAAAUCCUCAUCUUUCAGUGCAGGAAUUCAUUGCAUAAUGUUUGAAUUUGAAAAAUCAAGACAAAGCAGGCUAAGCUUUCUAUUAAGAACCAUAGAGGCAAAAUCAAAGGGUUUGGCUAGAAAAUUGGCAGCUGGAAAGAUUGCUACCCCGGGUUGUGGGAAUUGGGGGUGAGAAGGGUUGGGCAAAAGGCAGCUGUUUUCUGUUUCAAGUCUGACUCAUCAAACUACGUAUAACACGCAUCUUUUUUUUUUUUUUUUUUUUUUUUUUUUUUAAUGGCUACACCCGUAGCAUAUGGGAGUUCCCAGGCCAGGGAUCGAAUCUGAGCCAUAGAUGCGACCUACGCCAGAUCUGUAGGUCGGGGAUCCAACCCGCACUGCCACAGCAGGAACUCCUGUAUACACAUAUCUUUGAUGACAAGAAAACUUUUCUUUUCUUGGUCUUUUUAGGGCCACACCUGCGGCAUAUGGAGGUUCCGAGGCUAGGGGUUGAAUUGGAGCUACAGAUGCCAGCCUACACCACAGCCACAGCAAUGCAGGAUCUGAGCAGCGUCUGCGACCUACACCACAGCUCAUGGCAACACCGGACCCUUAACCCACGGAGCAAGGCCAGGGAUGGAACCUGAGUCCUCAUGGAUGCUAGUUAGAUAGUCAGAUUCAUUUCCACUGAGCUAUGAUGGGAACUCCAUGAAAACUUUUUAAAAUGGAAAUUUGGUUAAUUAAAAAAAAAAAAAAAAAAAAAAAAAAAAA
rnacentral:lncRNA from 1 species